rnacentral:rRNA from 1 species
UACGGAGGGUGCAAGCGUUGUUCGGAAUCAUUGGGCGUAAAGCGCGUGUAGGCGGCUUGGCAAGUCAGUUGUGAAAGCCCGGGGCCCAACCCCGGAAUUGCAUCUGAAACUGCCUGGCUAGAGUCCCGGAGAGGAAGGCAGAAUUCCCGGUGUAGGGGUGAAAUCCGUAGAUAUCGGGAGGAAUACCAGCGGCGAAGGCGGCCUUCUGGACGGUGACUGACGCUGAGACGCGAAAGCGUGGGGAGCAAACGGG